rnacentral:rRNA from 1 species
CCUACGGGCGGCAGCAGUCGAGAAUCAUUCACAAUGGGGGAAACCCUGAUGGUGCGACGCCGCGUGGGGGAAUGAAGGUCUUCGGAUUGUAAACCCCUGUCAUGUGGGAGCAAAUUAAAAAGAUAGUACCACAAGAGGAAGAGACGGCUAACUCUGUGACAGCAGCCGCGGUAAUACAGAGGUCUCAAGCGUUGUUCGGAAUCACUGGGCGUAAAGCGAGCGUAGGCUGUUUCGUAAGUCGUGGGUGAAAGGCGCGGGCCCAACCCGCGGACGGCACAUGAUACUGCGAGACUAGAGUAAUGGAGGGGGAACCGGAAUUCUCGGUGUAGCAGUGAAAUGCGUAGAUAUCGAGAGGAACACUCGUGGCGAAGGCGGGUUCCUGGACAUUAACUGACGCUGAGGCACGAAGGCCAGGGGAGCGAAAGGGAUUAGAUACCCGGGUAGUC